UUGUACACACCGCCCGUCACACCAUGGAAGUUGGCAAUACCCGAAGCCUGUGAGCGAACCUUUUGGACGCAGCAGUCGAAGGUAGGGUCAGUAACUGGGGUGAAGUCGUAACAAGGUAGCCGUAUCGGAAGGUUGGCGGCUGGAUCACCUCCUUU
rnacentral:rRNA from 1 species